rnacentral:rRNA from 1 species
UACGUAGGUGGCAAGCGUUAUCCGGAAUUAUUGGGCGUAAAGCGCGCGCAGGCGGUUUCUUAAGUCUGAUGUGAAAGCCCACGGCUCAACCGUGGAGGGUCAUUGGAAACUGGGGAACUUGAGUGCAGAAGAGAAAAGCGGAAUUCCACGUGUAGCGGUGAAAUGCGUAGAGAUGUGGAGGAACACCAGUGGCGAAGGCGGCUUUUGGUCUGUAACUGACGCUGAGGCGCGAAAGCGUGGGAGCAAACAGG